rnacentral:rRNA from 1 species
UGGCGGACGGGUGAGUAACGCGUGGGUAACCUGCCUCAUACAGGGGGAUAACAGUUAGAAAUGACUGCUAAUACCGCAUAAGACCACAGCACCGCAUGGUGUAGGGGUAAAAACUCCGGUGGUAUGAGAUGGACCCGCGUCUGAUUAGCUAGUUGGUGGGGUAACGGCCUACCAAGGCGACGAUCAGUAGCCGACCUGAGAGGGUGACCGGCCACAUUGGGACUGAGACACGGCCCAA